rnacentral:rRNA from 1 species
GCUAAGCCCUGAACAUUGAAAGCUAACUAUACUAUACUUUCCGCCAGAGAACUACGAGUGAAAAACUUAAAACUCAAAGGACUUGACGGUGUCCCAUAUCGGCCUAGAGGAGCCUGUCCUAUAAUCGAUACCCCCCGUUCCACCCAACCCCAACUAGCAAAACAUCAGCCUAUAUACCGCCGUCGACAGUUUACCCUAUGAAGGUCCAAUAGUAGACACAAUAGCCCUAACACUAAUACGUCAGGUCAAGGUGUAGCAAAUGCUGGGGAAGAGAUUGGCUACAUUUUUUAUGAUAAAAAACACGAAUUGCACCAUGAAAAAGUGCAUGAAGGUGAAUUUAGUAGUAAAACAGAUAAGAGUGCCUGUUUUAACAACGCUCUGGGACGCGUACACACCGCCCGUCACCCUCCUCAACAAAACAAAAUAACUUAUAUAAAAAGAUUAAUUUAAUCAGAGGAGGC